AACCUCCGCAAUGUGAGAAAUCGCGACGGGGGGAUCCCAAGUGCCAUUCUUAACGGGAUGGCUUUUCAUUAGUGUAAAGAGCUUUUGGAAUAAGGGCUGGGCAAGACCGGUGCCAGCCGCCGCGGUAACACCGGCAGCUCUAGUGGUAGCAGUUUUUAUUGGGCCUAAAGCGUCCGUAGCCGGUUUAAUAAGUCUCUGGUGAAAUCCUGUAGCUUAACUGUGGGAAUUGCUGGAGAUACUAUUAGACUUGAGACCGGGAGAGGUUAGAGGUACUCCCAGGGUAGAGGUGAAAUUCUGUAAUCCUGGGAGGACCGCCUGUUGCGAAGGCGUCUAACUGGAACGGUUCUGACGGUGAGGGACGAAAGUUAGGGGCGCGAACCGGAUUAGAUACCCGGGUAGUCCUAACUGUAAACGAUGCGGACUUGGUGUUGGGGUGGCUUUGAGCUGCUCCAGUGCCGAAGGGAAGCUGUUAAGUCCGCCGCCUGGGAAGUACGGUCGCAAGACUGAAACUUAAAGGAA
rnacentral:rRNA from 1 species